UGACAUCACGCUGCAACCACGGUUUCCGUAAAAUAAUCGAAGUUAAGCAACGUCGAGCCUGGUCAGUACCUAGAUGGGUGACCGCUUGGGAAUACCAGGUGUUGUAUG